rnacentral:tRNA from 1 species
AAUAAAGUGCCUGAUAAAAGGAUUAUUCUGAUAGGAUAAAUAAUGUAUUAUAAAUACCUUUAUUA